rnacentral:rRNA from 1 species
CGACUAAGCCAUGCAAGUCAUAUGUUCCUCGUGAACAUGGCAUACUGCUCAGUAACACGUGGAUAACCUGCCCUUGGGUCUGGGAUAACCCCGGGAAACUGGGGAUAAUACCGGAUAACGCAUAUGUGCUGGAAUGCUUUAUGCGUAAAACGGAUUCGUCCGCCCAAGGAUGGGUCUGCGGCCUAUCAGGUAGUAGUGGGUGUAAUGUACCUACUAGCCAACAACGGGUACGGGUUGUGAGAGCAAGAGCCCGGAGAUGGAUUCUGAGACAUGAAUCCAGGCCCUACGGGGCGCAGCAGGCGCGAAAACUUUACAAUGCGGGAAACCGUGAUAAGGGAACACCGAGUGCCAGCAUCAUAUGCUGGCUGUCCAGAUGUGUAAACUACAUCUGUUAGCAAGGGCCGGGCAAGACCGGUGCCAGCCGCCGCGGUAACACCGGCGGCCCGAGUGGUGACCGUUAUUAUUGGGUCUAAAGGGUCCGUAGCCGGUUUGGUCAGUCCUCCGGGAAAUCUGAUAGCUUAACUGUUAGGCUUUCGGGGGAUACUGCCAGGCUUGGAACCGGGAGAGGUAAGAGGUACUACAGGGGUAGGAGUGAAAUCUUGUAAUCCCUGUGAGACCACCUGUGGCGAAGGCGUCUUACCAGAACGGGUUCGACGGUGAGGGACGAAAGCUGGGGGCACGAACCGGAUUAGAUACCCGGGUAGUCCCAGCCGUAAACUAUGCUCGCUAGGUGUCAGGCAUGGCGCGACCGUGUCUGGUGCCGCAGGGAAGCCGUGAAGCGAGCCACCUGGGAAGUACGGCCGCAAGGCUGAAACUUAAAGGAAUUGGCGGGAA